rnacentral:rRNA from 1 species
AAUGAACGCUGGCGGCGCGCCUAAUACAUGCAAGUCGAGCGAGAAGACGUAGCAAUACGUUUGUAAAGCGGCGAACGGGUGAGGAAUACAUGGGUAACCUACCCUCGAGUGGGGAAUAACUAGCCGAAAGGUUAGCUAAUACCGCGUACGCUCCUUGGACUUCGGUUCAGGGAGGAAAGCGAUACCGUGGGUAUCGCGCUCUUGGAUGGGCUCAUGUCCCAUCAGCUUGUUGGUGAGGUAACGGCUCACCAAGGCUUCGACGGGUAGCUGGUCUGAGAGGACGAUCAGCCACACUGGCACUGCGACACGGGCCAGACUCCUACGGGAGGCAGCAGUGGGGAAUCUUGCGCAAUGGGCGAAAGCCUGACGCAGCGACGCCGCGUGAGGGAUGACGGCC